GCAGGUCCUUCUCCUUGGCCAGCGCUUUGACCGCGUCUUCGCUCUCCUUGCGGUGCUGCUCGUAGUUGCGGAUGAAGUCGCGGAGCUGCUCCUCGCGACUCUCCAGCGUGGCACACAGCUGCUGCAUCUGGCUCACCAGGGGACCUCUGAAACGAACCUACCACGUGCUGCUGCUGAACAUCCAUGCUGAUUUGCUGUCUCCUUCAGCCAAGUUAGAGCAAAGGGUCCAGGGCUGGAGACGAUCCUGCCCCCCCCUCUGUCUCUGGCUGUCCUCUGGGAUAUUUCUCCUUUCAGGCACACUAGAUGCUUUCUGUGGGUUGAGUCAGGGACAGGUCUCCUGUCAGUGAACCCACGAUGGUGGAGAAGCUGGUUAGCCAUCUCGAUCUCAUUUUUCCAGUGCAGAAUGCAUGAGUCAGGGAGUUUUCUGCACGCUUGAGUGGGGCGGAUUUGAGGGAGGGGGAUCGUGGAGAUAGAAGUCUGAGUCUCAACCUGGAGCAGUGGCUCACGCCUGUAAUCCCAGCACUUUGGGAGGCGGCGGUGGGUGGAUCACUUGAGAUCAAGAGUUUGAGACCAGCCUGGCCAACAUGGUGAAACCCCCUCUCUACUAAAAAUACAAAAAGUACCCAGGUGUGGUGGCGCACACUUGUAAUCUCAACUACUCAGGAGGCUGAGGCAGGAGAAUCGCUUGAACCAGGGAAGCAUAGGUUGCAAUGAGCCGUUGCACUCCAGCCUGGGCAAUAGAGCAAGACGACCCUGUCUCAAAAAAAAAAAAAAAAACAUUUUGGCCGGGCACGGUGGCUUCCACCUGUAAACCCAGCACUUUGGGAGGCCAAGGAGAGUGGAUCACGAGGUCAAGAGAUAUGGAGACCAUCCUGGCCAACAUGGUGAAUCCCCGUCUCUACUGAAAAUACAAAAGUUAGCCGAGGACGGUGGUGGGCGCCUGUAGUCCCAGCUACUGGGGAGGCUGAGGCAAAAGAAUUUCUUGCACCUGGGAGGCAGAGGUCGCAGUGAGCCAAGAUCGUGCCACUGCACUCCAGCCUGGGCAACAGAGCAAGACUCCGUCUCGAAAAUAAAAAACUUCUUUAAGUGUGAUUCUCUUGACAUCUUCUGAAGUUUUUUCAUCUGUGGCCCCAGGGACUGUCUCAUCCUCAUCUCUGAGUUCUGGGACAAGGCUGGUGAGGAUCUUGGUGCCGUGUGUUUCUUUCUGGUUUCCCACUGGGGAAGUAAAGCCAGCUUACUUCCGCAGCACCCUAAUGAAAUUUUGAUUGAGAAAUACUCUGCAUAUGUUUGUAUAUGUUACUUCCUUUUCAGUGAUCUUUAGUCUCUAGCCACGUGAUUAACAAGGACUUUCUGAUCAUUCUGUACCCCUCACCACCUCAUUGUCUUUUCCUCCUGUAAAUAGGAAUGAAAAUUCUCAGCCUCUCAUUCUAUGGACUCAUCUCACAUUAUUUCUCCCAACAUUAUUUCUAGUCUGUCACCUACAGCUCUCUUUUCUUUUUCUUCAAAUCUCAAUGUACUUUUUCUUUCUUUCUUUCUUUUUUCUUUUCUUUUUUUGUUUUGAGAUGGAGUCUCACUCUGUUGCCCAGGCUGGAGAAUAGUGGCACAAUCUUGGCUCACCACAACUUCUCCUGGGUUCAAGCGAUUCUCCUGCAUCAGCCUGCCGAGUAGCUGGGAUUACACGUGCCCACCACCAAGCCUGGCUAAUUUCUGUAUUUUUAGUAGAGACAGGCUUUUGCCAUGUUGGCCUGGCUGGUCUCAAACUCCUGAUCUCCAUGAUCUGUCCACCUCAGCCUCCCAAAGUGCUGGGAUUACAGGUGUGAGUCACCACACCUGACCAAUGUACACUUUUAAAAAUAUAUAAAUUUAGGCCAGGUGCUGUGGCUCAUGCCUGUAAUCCCAGCACUUUGGGAGACCGAAAUGGGUGGAUCACGAAGUCAGGAGAUCACAACCAGCCUGGCCAAUAUGGUGAAACCCCAUCUCUAUUAAAAAUACAAAAAUUAGCUGGGCAUGGUUGUGGGUGCCUGUAGUCCCAGCUACUGGGGAAGUUGAGGCAAGAGAAUCGCUUGAACCCAGGAGGCAGAGAUUGCAGUGAGCCUAGAUUAUGCCACUGCACUCCACUCUGGGCGACAGAGCAAGAUUCUGUCUCAAAAUACAUAUAUAUAUAUAUAUGUAAAUGUAAUUGCUAUUCCUGCAUGUGAUUAUUCUCACUCUGGCUUCAUGUAACAGGAAAACCCCCAGCCUGAGAGCUAAAAACUUCUAACUUGUUUACCAAGCACACCAUCUGGCUGUCUUUACCUGGGGCUCUGCCACUGACUACCUGCGUGGACUCAGUCACAUAAUUUCUCUAUCAGGGCCUCAGUGUUGUGGCUUGGUUGCGUGGUAGUGGUGGUUAGGGUUAAUUUUGUCAAUGCCAAAACUCUUUCAAAAAGUUGAUGAGAUUUCUGAACUCUUUUUCCAGAGAAAAAGCACGCUCAAAUAAAUGUUUUCCAAAUGA